AUUGAACGCUGGCGGCAUGCCUUACACAUGCGAGUCGAACGGCAACAGGUCUUCGGAUGCUGACGAGUGGCGAACGGGUGAGUAAUAUAUCGGAACGUGCCCAGUCGUGGGGGAUAACGCAGCGAAAGCUGUGCUAAUACCGCAUACGCUCUAUGGAUGAAAGCGGGGGAUCGCAAGACCUCGCGCGAUUGGAGCGGCCGAUAACAGAUUAGGUAGUUGGUGGGGUAAAGGCCUACCAAGCCAACGAUCUGUAGAUGGUCUGAGAGGACGACCAGCCACACUGGAAGUGAGACACGGUCCAGACUCCGACGAGAGGCAGCAGUGGGGAAUUGUGGACAAUGGGCGCAAGCCUGAUCCAGCAAUGCCGCGUGGAGGAUGAAGGCCUUCGGGUUGUAAACUGCUUUUGUACGGAACGAAAAGGCUCUGGUUAAUACCUGGGGCUCAUGACGGUACCGUAAGAAUAAGCACCGGCUAACUACGUGCCAGCCGCCGCGGUAACAC
rnacentral:rRNA from 1 species